rnacentral:lncRNA from 1 species
CAAAGCAGCUGUGCGAAUGCGUCAUCGAUCCUGAUGAGGCACUUCUGAUGUCGGAAGCGCGUUCAGACUCCUAAUCUGAAGAAACUCAGGGAAUUCUGCAUUGUCGUGUCAGCGAGAUCCUGCACUUCAUCAUCUGUCCAAGAAGAGGACAGCAAAGCUGAGGAAAGUCAGAGAACUGAGCCGUCCAAGGAAGGUCCUUGCAGUUCUGUGCACACAGAUGAAGCUGGACCAACGAGCAAGGCAGUCGCUCUGUACAUUCGUGCUGAAGAAGACCCAGGAAGGUGCAAACUCAGAAUACGGUGCAUAAAGUUUUCAUAGCUGCAUUAGACUGGAAAACAUCCUGGCCCGCAUUCCAACUCCUGCCAUCUCCAGUUCUGCUGCUGAGAGCUCCCAACCUCAGUCUCGGUGACAGAACCACAGAAUGGCUUGAGUUGGAAGGGACCUCAGUCAUUAUCCAGUUCCACUCCUACACCAUGGGCAGGGUUGCCAACUUACUCAGGCAUCUUUAUGGGCACAGAGCAGCAUAUGCCUCUGCCCUUCACAAUGACUUUCUUCAAGCACUUGCAUUUGAAUGUUGCUUUCCCCUUUCUGGAUGAUUAUCUGUCCUCUGCUGUAAGGAGUCACAGUCACCUGGAAGCUGAAAAGACCUUCAUAUCCUUGAAUUUGAUACCAGCUUAGAAAUUGCUGCUCUUUCUCAGAGGUAACUGAAGGCACGUUACAAUCUGGUUUAAUAGGUUAUAUGAUCAAUCAACGCAAAGGCACACACCUGUCCUAUUAAUACUGUGAUAUGAUUAUUGAGCUAUGACUAGCUUAUACACAAAUAUUCUGCACUUAUAGGUUCGUGAAAGCUGAGGAAAAUCUUAAUUAGCUUUGAUGCUCCUGGAUUGCU